GUUCAAGAAAUAAUCUUCACUCCUUUGCUUGCACAGAGGUGAUCAGGCUUCUCCCCCAUUUCAGCAUCUUCAGGGAGAUCAGGCUGAAGCCUCUUCAGACAUCAAGGCAUCUUUCAUAGCAGAUCCUGUGGUAAUGAUGGUGAUGAGGCUGCUACUGGUGAUUGUUUGAAAGUGCCGAGAGAUAAGUGCCAGCCAAGCUCCCCCAACCAGUUUUGCCUGCCUCUCAGGUGGGGGCAUGGCUGCCUGUGUGGUGGGGAGUCCAUUCUUUACUGGAGACCAGGGGACUGCCCGGUUAGGGCCCAGCUGCUGGGAGCUCAACCAGGGAGACACAUCCUCAAUGAGUUUCCGCAAGGAUGAUGUCUCAGCCUCACUGCCACACCCACUGCUGCACCUAUCUUCUCCACUGGGAUGCCCCUGAACUUGGCUUCCUGGAGCCUUAGUGUUGGGGAUGAGGAUGGGGCACAGAAGCUGUCCUGUUGGGUGGGACCAGGGUGAGGAGAGUUCUUAGAGCAGACUGGGCCACCAUAGUGUGUUCCAGGGACUCAGACCUCUGUGGCUUCCUCCUUGUCCAGGGGCAAAAGACAACAGUAGACCAUCAUGGAAGACACCAAAAAUACCAGCCAGGGCUGAGUUCAUCCUGUGACAAACACCUGUGCAGCCUCUUUUCAUGUCCAAAUCCCCUCCCAUGAGUAGACACUAUUAUUAUCCCCAUUUUACAGAUGAGGAAACUGAGGCACAGAGUGGUAAGUAAUAUGCCCAAGGUCACUUGGCUAGCCAGCUGCAGAACUGGGGCACAGACCAGGUCCCUUUGAUUCCAAAGUCUAUGCAUAGCUCCUAGUUAUCUGGCCCAAAGCUAUGGUUCCUGGGGAGCCAACAUGGAAGGCAGCAGUCCUGGUAGAGAGCAAGGGAGGAGAACACUUCAGAGGUGACCAGAUCUAGGGCAUCAGCCUAGCCACAAUUCUACAAAAACACUUUAGCCCUAUGCUGUCAAGUCUCAAGGUAGGAGACUUGGGAAAUGAAAUGAAACCCCAUAUCACCUCUCCUUUCUACCACAUGCACCCCCUACCCCCAACACACACCUCUGCUCAUGUCUCUGCAGCUGGGCACUCUCCUGGGCUCACCUGCAAAGUGAGCCCCAGCAGUGAGCCAGGAAUCUUGAAGUUCCUCUGAAGACACCACCUGGGGGUGGACCCAGACGGGACAGAUGAGGCUCAGAGCAAGGUAAUCUAAUAAUAAUCACAGUGGCAAUUCAGUAAUAAUUUAUUUUUAUUUAGCAUAAGUAUGGGCCAUUUAAUUAUCAUAACCUUACAAGGUACUAUUAGCCCCAUUUUUGAGAUGAGGAAACUGAAGCUCAGAGAAGUUAAGUAACGUGCUCAAGAUCAUCGGCUCAUCCAAGCCAGUGCUCCACACCAGGCUUGUCUGACUUCAGAGCAUUCCGCCUUCUCGCUGGAGGAGAGGAAUGAGCUGAAGACCUGGCUAAUUCACAUGAGAAAGAACAGCCUCUUUGUGACAGAACGAUUUAUAAUCCUUUGGGUAUUUAUCCAGUAAUGGGAUUACUGGGUCGAAUGGUAUUUCUGUUUUUAGGUCUUUGAGGAAUUGCCACACUGUCUUCCACAAUGAUUGAACUAAUUUACACUCCCACCAACAGUGUAUAAGUGUUCCUUUUUCUCCGCAACCUCACCAGCAUCUGUUAUUUUCUGACUUUUUAAUAAUAGCCAUUCUGACUGGUGUGAGCUGGUAUCUCACUGAGAUUUUGAUUUAUAUUUCUCUAAUGAUCAGUGAUGUUGAACUUUUUUUCCUAUGACUGUUGGCCGCAUGUAUUUCUUUUGAAAAGUGUCUGUUCAUGUCCUUUGCCCACUUUUUAAUGGGGUUAUUUGCUUUUUUGCUUGUUGACUUAAGUUCCUUAUAGAUGCUAGAUAUUAAACCUUUGUCGGAUUGCAUAGUUUGCAAACAUUGUUUUCCCAUUCUGUAGGUUGUCUGUUCAGUCUGUCGGUAGUUUCUUUUGCUGUAUAGAAGCUCUUUAGUUUAAUUAGAUCCCGUUUGUCAAUUUUUGCUUUUGUUGCAAUUACUUUUGGCAUCUUUGUCAUGAAAUCUUUGCUUGUUCCUAUGUCCAGAGUGGUAUUGCCUAGGUUGUCUUCCAUAUCAUAAAGACACAUGCAUGUGAAUGUUCAUUGCAGCACUAUUCACAAUAGCAAAGACAUGGAAUCAACCUAAAUGCCUAUCAAUGGUAGACUAGACAAAAAAAAAAUGUGGCACAUAUACAUCAUGGAAUACUAUACAGCCAUAAAAAAGAAUGAGACCAUGUCCUUUGCAGGAACAUGGAUGGAGCUGGAGGCCAUUUUCCUUAGCAAACUAAGUCAGGAAGAGAAAACCAAAUACUGCCUGUUCUCACUUUUAAGUGGGAACUAAAUGAUGAGAACACAUGGACACAUAGAGGGGAACAGCACACACUGGGACCUGUUGGAGGGUGAAGGAGGGAGAGGAUCAGGAAAAAUAACUAAUGAGUACUAGGCUUAAUACCUGGGUGACACAAGUUUACCUACAUAACAAACCUGCACUUGUACCCCUGAACUUAAAUAAAAAAAGAAAGAACAUCCUUGAGACAAUGGAGAAACUUUCAAAGUGGCAUGAACCCAGAAACCCUGCUGGGAGGUUCUCUGGGAGAUGUUUCCUGAGCUCUGCCAGCAGAGAGUCCUGGGAAAAGGGGUGGGCGACCCUUCCAGAUCAUUGCUGUGAUUUGCUCUGGCUUGUAGAGUCACAGCCAGUCACAGCGGCAGGCUCCUGGCCAAGAUCACUUUACUACUGUUGGCCUGUGGCAAUAAUCUUGUCUUGCCACCUCAAUGGCUGUGCUGGGUGACAGAGCUGUUCUUCUAAACUGGUGGUUCUCAAACUUUAGUGUGCAUCAGAAUUGCCUGGAAGGCUUGAUAAAACAUAGAUUGCUGGCCCCCAAUCUCAGAUUUCUGAUCCUGUAGCUCUGGAGUGAGAUGUGAGAAUCUGCAUUCUAAGUUCCCAGGCAUCACUGAUGUUAGUGAUCUGGGGACCACUGCUUUAAAUCAUCCUCUCUCCAUAGGUCACAGAUCUGUAGACUCAUAGCAUGUCAGCGGAAAGGUGUCAUAGCAAACAGCUUCAGACCAGUCAUGCGUACAUGAGGAAACAGACAAAGUCAGACAUCGGGUAACUCAGACUCAUCUUUCCAGAUGCUGUUCAAAUGUCACCUCCCUGGGCUUUCCCUGACUUCCCCAGGCAGAGUAUUACCUAUUCCUGUCUUUCUACCUUGGUUGGAGCACUUACUCCUUUAUGCCCUGACAUACCUCCCCAAAAUGUCUAUUUCCCCAAUAGAAAUAAGAGCAAUCUGAGGACAGGGCUUUCUAUCUCUGGAUCCCUGGUGCCUGACAUGCUGCACAAUGCUGAGGAGGGACUCAGUUGUUCAUGAGUGAAUGAGAAGGAAAGCAAUCCCCCUGGUGUGUGUUCCAUUGACUGGACUGGCUCCUGGGACAGACUUCUUGAAUCAAACUGCAAGCUCCAGGAGACGAGAGGCUGUAUCCUUGGUACCUAGAAUCAUGCCUGGCACAGGAUGGGCACUCAAGACAUCUGUUGAAUGAGUGAAUGAAUUAUGAAAAGAUUAUCAGUGGAACUGCUGACUCGGCAUACUGGAUCAUCAGAGGGCCUUUCUGCUGCAAAACACUUUUAUCCUGAAUAAAGUAUACUUUUUGAUGCAUUGU